CUACCCGGGUUUCUAAUCCCGUUUGCUCCCCUGGCCUUCGUGCCUCAGUGUCAGGAACUGUCCAGAGACCCGCCUUCGCCACUGGUCUUCCUUACGAUCUCUACGCAUUUCACUGCUACACCGUAAAUUCCAGUCUCCUCUCCAGUCCUCAAGCACCGCAGUAUCAAAUGCAGUUUCGGAGUUAAGCUCCGAAAUUUCACACCUGACUUACGGCGCCACCUACGCACCCUUUACGCCCAAUGAAUCCGAACAACGCUUGAGACCUCUGUAUUACCGCGGCUGCUGGCAC
rnacentral:rRNA from 1 species